UACGUAGGGGCUAGCGUUGUCCGGAAUCAUUGGGCGUAAAGCGCGUGUAGGCGGCCCGGUAAGUCCGCUGUGAAAGUCGGGGGCUCAACCCUCGGAUGCCGGUGGAUACUGUCGGGCUCGAGUACGGAAGAGGCGAGUGGAAUUCCUGGUGUAGCGGUGGAAUGCGCAGAUAUCAGGAGGAACACCAAUAGCGAAGGCAGCUUGCUGGGACGGUACUGACGCUAAGGCGCGAAAGCGUGGGAGCGAACGAGGA
rnacentral:rRNA from 1 species